rnacentral:lncRNA from 1 species
CUCCUGCUGCUGGUGGCCGCCCUAGCCCCAUCCCAGACUUCGCUGGCUCACACUUGAUGCGGUAUUUCCACACCUCUGUGUCCUGGCUGGGCUUCAGGGGAAACCCAUUCAUCUCUGCCGGCUAAGGGGACGACAUGCAGUUCGUGCGCUUGGAGGAUGGAGCCCCUUACGCCAUGGGUAGAGCAGGAGGGGCUGGAGUAUUGGGAGCAGGAGACAGAGUGGCAAGAAUGAGGCGCAGAAUAUCAAGAAUGAGUGGACCUGAGGUCCCUGCUCCACUACUACAACCAGAGCAAGGGCGGGACCGCGGACACCAUCUAGCGAUUGUGUGUCUGUGACAUGGGGUCGGACGGGAACCUCCUCAGCAGGUAUGAGCAGCAUGCCUAUGAUGGCCCAUGAUUACACUGUUCUGAAAGAAGACCUGAAAACGAGGGCGGCGGCGGACACGGUGGAGCAGAUCACCCGAUGCAAGUGGGAGCAGGCUGAUGAGGCAGAGAACAGAAGGCCAAUUUGGCGGAUACGCGUGUAGUGAAGUGGCUUUGGAGAUACCUGGAGAAGAAGGAGAUGCUGCAGCGCACAGGAAACUACUGCAGCUACCCCUCCCCCAAGCUGAGGUACAAGUGCUAUGUGCAUAUGAGGGGCUGCCUGAGCCCCUCACCCUAAGAUGGGCUUCCUCAGUCCACCAUCCCCAUCAUGACCAUUGUUGGUGCUGUCCUUGGAGCUGUGGCCAUCUUGGGUUUUAUCAUCUGAGGUGUUCUGAUAUGGAUGAACAAGAAUGCAG